rnacentral:rRNA from 1 species
UAGGGAAUCUUCCACAAUGGACGCAAGUCUGAUGGAGCAACGCCGCGUGAGUGAAGAAGGUUUUCGGAUCGUAAAGCUCUGUUGUUGGUGAAGAAGGAUAGAGGUAGUAACUGGCCUUUAUUUGACGGUAAUCAACCAGAAAGUCACGGCUAACUACGUGCCAG